rnacentral:rRNA from 1 species
UGAGUAACCUGCCCUUAACUCUGGGAUAAGCCUGGGAAACUGGGUCUAAUACCGGAUAUGACUCCUCAUCGCAUGGGUGGGGGGUGGAAAGCUUUUUGUGGUUUUGGAUGGACUCGCGGCCUAUCAGCUUGUUGGUGAGGUAAUGGCUCACCAAGGCGACGACGGGUAGCCGGUCUGAGAGGGUGACCGGCCACACUGGGACUGAGACACGGCCCAGACUCCUACGGGAGCAG